rnacentral:rRNA from 1 species
AUUGAACGCUGGCGGCAGGCCUAACACAUGCAAGUCGAGCGGCAGAACGGAACUAGCUCCUGGUUUCAGCGGCGGACGGGUGAGUGGUGCAUAAGAAUCUGGCAGUUAGUGUUUUAUAGGGUGCUAACACGGGGAAAAUUACCCCAUACCUCCUGAGGGCGAAAGGGGGAAAGCAUGGGACCUCCCGCCCUCAGAUGAGCCUAUGUCGGAUUGGCUAGUUGGCGGGUUAAAGGCCCACCAAGGCGACGAUCCGUAGCUGGUCUGAGAGGAUGAUCAGCCACACUGGAACUGAGACACGGUCCAGACUCCUACGGGAGGCAGCAGUGGGGAAUAUUGGACAAUGGGCGCAAGCCUGAUCCAGCCAUACCGCGUGGGUGAAGAAGGCCUUCGGGUUGUAAAGCCCUUUUGUUGGGAAAGAAAAGCAGCAGGUUAAUACCCCGCUGUUCUGACGGUACCCAAAGAAUAAGCACCGGCUAACUUCGUG